AUCCUUUUGCAGUUUAUAAGCGUGAUGAUUGAGUUUUCAUGCGCACAAGUGAGAUGUGCCUCCCACAAAUCUUGUUACAACAUCAGCACAUUACCCAUCUGAUG